CUACGGGGCGCAGCAGUGGGGAAUAUUGGACAAUGGGGGAAACCCUGAUCCAGCAAUGCCGCGUGUGUGAAGAAGGCCUGCGGGUUGUAAAGCACUUUCGGUUGGGAGGACUGCUUCUAGCACUAAUAUUGUUGGAAGUUGACGUUACCUUCAGAAGAAGCACCGGCUAACUCCGUGCCAGCAGCCGCGGUAAUACGGAGGGUGCAUGCGUUAAUCGGAAUUACUGGGCGUAAAGCGCGCGUAGGCGGCUAGAUCAGUCGGGUGUGAAAGCCCCGGGCUUAACCUGGGAACUGCAUCCGAUACUGUCUAGCUUGAGUACAGGAGAAGAGAGUGGAAUUCCACAUGUAGCGGUGAAAUGCGUAGAUAUGUGGAGGAACACCAAUGGCGAAGGCAGCUCUCUGGCCUGAUACUGACGCUGAGGUGCGAAAGCGUGGGGAGCAAACAGGAUUAGAUACCCUUGUAGUC
rnacentral:rRNA from 1 species